GACGAACGCUGGCGGCGUGCUUAACACAUGCAAGUCGAACGGAAAGGCCCUGCGCUUGUGGCGUGCUCGAGUGGCGAACGCGUGAGUAACACGUGUGUAACCUCCCCUUGUCUUUGGGAUAUCUCCACGAAACUGCGGCUAUUACCGGAUAUGAGCUCCUGCUGCACGUGGGUGGUUGGAGAGUUUCGGCGGUUGGGGCUGGACUCGCGGCUUAUGCGCUUCUUUGGGGGGUAGUGGCUUUCCAAGGUUUUGACGGGUAGCCGGCCUGGGAGGGGGGCCGGGCACAAUGGGACUGAGAGAGGGACCAGACGGGUACGGGAGGCAGCAGGGGGGAAUAUUGCACAAUGGGCGGAAGCCUGAGACAGAAACGCCGCGUGCGGGAUGACGGCCUUCGGGUUGUAAACCGCUUUCGCAUGAGACGAAGAGUGAGUGACGGUAAUGGGUAAAGAAGCACCGACUAACUACGUG
rnacentral:rRNA from 1 species